rnacentral:rRNA from 1 species
GUGGCGGCGUGCUAUACUGCAGUCGAACGCUUCUUUUCCCACCGAGAGCUUGCUCCCCCGUGAAAAGAGGAGUGGCGAACGGGUGAGUAACACGUGGGUAACCUGCCCAUCAGAAGGGGAUAACACUUGGAAACAGGUGCUAAUACCGUAUAACAAUCGAUACCGCAUGGUUUCAUAUUGAAAGGCGCUUUACGGUGCCGCUGAUGGAUGGACCCGCGGUGCAUUAGCUAGUUGGUGAGGUAACGGCUCACCAAGGCCACGAUGCAUAGCCGACCUGAGAGGGUGAUCGGCCACAUUGGGACUGAGACACGGCCCAAACUCCUACGGGAGGCAGCAGUAGGGAAUCUUCGGCAAUGGACGAAAGUCUGACCGAGCAACGCCGCGUGAGUGAAGAAGGUUUUCGGAUCGUAAAACUCUGUUGUUAGAGAAGAACAAGGAUGAGAGUAACUGUUCACCCCUUGACGGUAUCUAACCAGAAAGCCACGGCUAACUACGUGCCAGCAGCCGCGGUAAUACGUAGGUGGCAAGCGUUGUCCGGAUUUAUUGGGCGUAAAGCGAGCGCAGGCGGUUUCUUAAGUCUGAUGUGAAAGCCCCCGGCUCAACCGGGGAGGGUCAUUGGAAACUGGGAGACUUGAGUGCAGAAGAGGAGAGUGGAAUUCCAUGUGUAGCGGUGAAAUGCGUAGAUAUAUGGAGGAACACCAGUGGCGAAGGCGGCUCUCUGGUCUGUAACUGACGCUGAGGCUCGAAAGCGUGGGGAGCAAACAGGAUUAGAUACCCUGGUAGUCCACGCCGUAAACGAUGAGUGCUAAGUGUUGGAGGGUUUCCGCCCUUCAGUGCUGCAGCUAACGCAUUAAGCACUCCGCCUGGGGAGUACGACCGCAAGGUUGAAACUCAAAGGAAUUGACGGGGGCCCGCACAAGCGGUGGAGCAUGUGGUUUAAUUCGAAGCAACGCGAAGAACCUUACCAGGUCUUGACAUCCUUUGACCACUCUAGAGAUAGAGCUUUCCCUUCGGGGGCAAAGUGACAGGUGGUGCAUGGUUGUCGUCAGCUCGUGUCGUGAGAUGUUGGGUUAAGUCCCGCAACGAGCGCAACCCUUAUUGUUAGUUGCCAUCAUUUAGUUGGGCACUCUAGCAAGACUGCCGGUGACAAACCGGAGGAAGGUGGGGAUGACGUCAAAUCAUCAUGCCCCUUAUGACCUGGGCUACACACGUGCUACAAUGGGAAGUACAACGAGUCGCUAAGUCGCGAGGUUAAGCUAAUCUCUUAAAGCUUCUCUCAGUUCGGAUUGUAGGCUGCAACUCGCCUACAUGAAGCCGGAAUCGCUAGUAAUCGCGGAUCAGCACGCCGCGGUGAAUACGUUCCCGGGCCUUGUACACACCGCCCGUCACACCACGAGAGUUUGUAACACCCGAAGUCGGUGAGGUAACCUUUUUGGAGCCAGCCGCCUAAGGGCAUUGAA